GGGCGGUUAGCUCAGUGGGAGAGCGCUUCCUUGACACGGAAGAGGUCACAUGUUCAAUCCAUGUACCGCCCACCA
rnacentral:tRNA from 1 species